UCUCAGUCAGUAGAGGAUGAGACUCUUGAUCUCAGGGUUGUGGGUUCGAGCCCCAU
rnacentral:tRNA from 1 species